UACGACACACCAGGACUAGAAUACGACACACCUGGUCCAGGACCAGAAUACGACACACCAGGUCCAGGAUCAGAAUACGACACACCUGGUCCAGGACCAGAAUACGACACACCUGGUCCAGGAUCAGAAUACGACACACCUGGACCAGAAUACGACACACCUGGUCCAGGAUCAGAAUACGACACACCUGGUCCAGGAUCAGAAUACGACACACCUGGUCCAGGAUCAGAAUACGACACACCAGGUCCAGGAUCAUAAUACGACACACCUGGUCCAGGACCAGAAUACGACACACCUGGUCCAGGACCAGAAUACGACACACCUGGUCCAGGACCAGAAUACGACACACCUGGUCCAGGACCAGAAUACGACACACCUGGUCCAGGACCAGAAUACGACACACCUGGUCCAGGACCAGAAUACGACACACCUGGUCCAGGACCAGAAUACGACACACCAGGUCCUGGACCAGAAUACGACACACCAGGACUAGGUACACAUACAAUGCUCUCUG